UGUGUAUUUUUAAACGUUCAAAUUCAAGGAACCGUCUGAACUUUCCACUAAAACAGGACAUUAUGCUGAAAGGCGUUAAAAAAUACUUUUAACAUUAUAUUUCUACUCAUAUUGGGUCUAGAUUUGUUUUAAAUUCAAUUCACACUUUAUUUGAGACUCACAUGAGGGUCCAGCAACUUGAGGUGUCUUCAAAGUUAGCUAAGCGUCAAUCGUGAGGUCACUGGAUGACCUGAAGUAGCUUCAAAUAUUUGUGUUUAGUUGGUAACUAGAACAUGAAGAGGAAGUGUGUGUCUGGUGUAGUUUGGACAAAAAUGACUUUAAAAUGUACCAUUUUAGCUUCAUAUAAUGUUCAUGAUGGACAAACCGGGUUUAGACAAUUAUUCCUUUUAGAGAAAUAGUUGAUGCCUUAACUUUAAAAAAAAAAAAAGAUUCCAAAAGUAAGACCACUGUAUGACACUGACACAGUAAACACUAAAGGCUGGCCUUAAAAGUACAGUAUAGAUAUAAAGGCUUGACCCUCAAAGGGCACACACACACAUUGCUCAGGCAUGUGUGCAUCAUGUGUGUGCGGCCUGUCACUGGUUGAAAACAGCCCUUCACCAAUUAUCGCCGACUUGAUAAUGGCUUCGUUCGCAGCCGUUUGCUCUGACUUCCAAUUGAACUUUCGACUGCCCCCUAGCAACCACACAAACAAGCUGCUGGCAAACUUAGGGCUUGUGUGUGUGUGUGUGUGUGUGUGUGUGUGUGUGUGUGUGUGUGUGUAGUGGGAAUUCCCUGCGACGGACCAUGCAAUGUUGCAAUGCCUCUCUCUCUCUCACUCGAUCCUCUUCUCUCUUUACCUCCUGUCUUUGUUUUUCUGUAGCCACCCUCUGUGCUGUUGGCGACUAAUAAGGAUAAUGGCAGUUAUUCAGUGGCUCAACUGUCAACUGUGCUGAUAGAUGAGGGUCACACACACACACACACACACAAAUGCACAGCACACCAUAGCUAAUUCUCAAUUAUGGCUGAUGGAGGGAGUGAACCCUCUUUUUUAAAAAGUCCAGAGCUAAAGGAGAGUAUGUCCCGUGGGGCAAAAGAAAGAGAAAAGGAGCGUCUGUGUGUGUCAGAAGAAAAGAAGAGGUUGUUGUCUUUGAGAAUUGCCUUUUAAAAGCUGACCUGGCCUUAUUUUCUAGCCACCUAUAGAGGAGCCUGGGGCAGAGGAAUCUAGGAUGUGGAGAGAAGAGGAGGAAGACGUCGGAAGAGGAAAGAGGCGAGGAUGUGCGGUGGGGUGGGGGCAAGGCGGGGUGUCACUGUCUGAGGGCAUUCCUCUGCAUACAUCACAUGGGAACAAAGAGGAGAUGAGGGUGUGUGUGUGUUGCAUGUGUGUUUCAAGCAUAUUGUCUGCAGUGAUGAAUAUUUUGGGUGUAGCUAGGCAUCAUACAACAUGCGUGUUUCCUGUUAUACCAAUGUAUUUCUGCUCAUGUGUGUGUGUGUGUGUAUGUGUGUGUGUGCGUGUGUGUGUGUGUGUGUUGCCACUGCAGUACAGCACAAUGGGGGUUGGGGGUGUCUUCCUCUGGCUGUGACGUAGUGUGUGGAGAAGGAAAUUAGGGCACGACUCAGCUUAGAGCUGGUGCUAUUGUUGCUUCGCUUCUGUCAGGACAGACUAUGACACACACGCAUGCAUGCACGCACACACACACACACACACUCACACUCUCACACACAGUCACUGACUUUUAACACCAUAUCGGAUCAAAAUGACAUAUUUAGUUAUAAAACAUAGCGACGGUCAGAAUUUUCCAACUGCAAUGUUCUAAUGUUUAGUAUGUCAAUGUGUGUGUGUACAUAUAUAUAUAUGUAUGUAUUAUUAAAUCUGGCAUAGCGUAUAACGAUGACCACAGAAGCAGUCCUCCAGCCAGGCUGCCGCUUCAUCUCACUAGUUGGAUCUUUGAUGUGGAGCGUUGGACUUGGACAGUAGCUGGACUGAGGCUGGUAAAUAUUUUAGCUCGGGCACUUCUUUAGUUUCACUGCCCUGCAAUGAUACAGUGACUCAGCCCCUCUUGCUUUUACUUACGUGCGCGUUUUCCCAUAUAAGUCCAUUAUUGUGUGACAAUAUGGGACUAAUUUGGCUGGCAUGUCGUGAAGAAGUGUCAAUAUUCACACAUGCAGCACCUUAUGAGGGAUGACUUAACCUUAGGUUACUCUUCAGGCAGGCCUCAAAUUGUUUGAAACGUGUAUAUUAAAAUUAAUAUGCAGCUUGUCUCGGAAAAAAAAGAGGUUCUAAGGCUUUUGAUAGAAAAAUGUGUCAUCAGAGGAACUGAAAGAGGAAGUGCGAGAUGGCGUUGUUACAAAGUACAUGAAACCAACGAAUGAAUUCUAACUCGAUGUCCUCAUUUAACGCUCCCUGAAAAGAGGGAAGAGAGAUUCACACAUUAACACAAGUGUGUUUAAAUCUGACAACAACAUCAUCCUCAGUGAUGGAAACAGUCCUUUCACACUUACAGUCACCUGCAACUUGAUCCUGGCUGUGCGCACUUGACUUUGGACCAAAGUCACAGUGGUGUGUUCACAAACACAGCUGUGUCCUAACGUUCUGAAGAAAUGACGCAGUACGCCAUUAGGAUGAGAUAAAGUCACCUGUUGUCCAACGAAAACCAAGUCGAUUCAAGAAUGCUCUUGAAUCCGGCUCCGGUUUGCUCCCUGCGAUCGUAAAACACUGGAAGUGGAGCAGGAAGAGAGGAGGGACGGUGAACUCUGAGGAAUGCACGUUCAAACUGUCUGCACACGGUUACCUGAUCACUGCUGUUGGGGGGAAUAAAAGAAACAGCUGCACUUCGCAAAACCCGCUUUCGCUGCAGGAGGUUAUGGCAGCAAAUUGUUUAAUUGCAACUGUUUGAACGGCAGAUGGUGGGCGGCGACUAUACUGUACCUGAGGGUGGGGCUGUCAGCCAGCCCAAUGGAUUAGAGUUUAAUGUCAGGUUUGCGUUUCACUUGAGGGUUUACCACACACUUAGACACAGAAGCUGGAUUUCUACAGUUGGGAACCCUCCCAAUGUUCUUCAUUAGAAAAUAAAUUCCAUCUACAUGUAUCCGGCUACAAGUAUGAACUGAUCAUACUGAGACUUUGAAUAAAGCAGAACUUGUGUAAAUGCUUUUCUGUUCCACUUAUUAUCAUUGAGACGUUGUGAUAAUUUGACUGCCAGUAGACUCACAGGAAGGGUUUAAAGAUAACACACUUACUCCUCAUCGACAUAACGACGGAAGUUUAUUAACGGCAGCAUAGUGGGAUCUCUGUACGAAACAGAAUUUUGGGCAUGUGUCAUCUCUUUAGAUCUGACUUCCUUAAAGGCACAUUUUCCUCACUGGAUUAUGGACAUUGUUGGGUCGCUUUGCAGUUCACACCACAUGCCUUGCUUGUCUUAUGAUCAGAGAUUUGCAGUCGUUGUGAGUAUUUUCCUGUACCUCAAAAACUGGGGCUGAACGUUGUGUAGUGUGGACCUUAUUGCCUUAUUUUCGGUCGUCACAGCACCUGAAUGACUCUGCAGCUCUGUGUGACAGUUGAGGAGGAAAAUAUGCUUCAAUGCAACAAUGCCCAGGUUAUCCAGCGACGAGAGAUGUUCGCAGGAGACGGGGAGGUUUAUCUAACCCGCUGCACCUCUUGAAAGUAAAUCUUCAGCCCUCAAAUCCAAGACGCGUGUGAUGAUGAAGUAGAAACUCAGCCUGCGGUGGAGUACGGGCGCGGCCCCACAGUUGCUGCUCUCCAACAAGAAACACCUUAGGUCACUGCGGAACUUGCUGCCCAGACUUGCAACAGAGCGCUUGAAGUGAGUCAGAACAAAAGGAAGCAGAGCCAGCGAUCAAAGAUCAAAGCUGGCGUGGUGUCGGUGUCUACCCUCCGAUCAGGGCACUGCGGGUCUGCAGGUUGGAAGGUGAAAGCAGGUGGCCUCGUCCAGGAGGGACGAUGCCGUGUUUUCAUACCGGAAAGAAAAAAAAAACCCUCUUUGUGGCGUUUGAAAAAGCAGUUGAAGUUCCAGGGUUUCACUUCACUUUCACUUCUUUGGCGGCACAAAGGAGAACGAAGGUUUUAGCGUCCCCAAAUACACGUGCUCAAGUAUUGCACUAUUGCACUCCGAUCCGUUCGUGCCACCUCAUGCCUCUACCGCAGCUCAGCGAGACGUAUUGUACUUAAUUUAUUUGACAGCUGCAGAAACUGGUCUCUUUGCAAAUUUUGAAAGGUUACGAAAUCUGAAGCUUUGUAUAUAUAAGAUGUCAUACACAUUAAGGCAUUGGUUGCAAUAAUCUAAUUAUAUAUUACCGUGUAACACUCACAGGGGCGCGGGUUCUUUUUUACUUUUGAUAAUGUCAUUUUGCUAAGAAUACAUAGUUUUAAUUAAGUCACAUUAAACAUUCAGGACUAACUUGUAAAGGGUUAUAAUUAUCCUAUGUUCCACCAGCGUUCAACAAUAUUUCUAAUGGCAAAUAUUUUCAAUUUUCAAAUCCAAUAUUUUCCAAUAACAAUUGUGUCAAUAAAACUGGAUGCGUAUAUAGCCACAGAGAAUAAGUUUUUCUGUCUUCAUUUUUGUUACCACUCCUUUUUAUCUGAAUGGGUCCGGUUCAGGAAGGUAGGGGCAUUCUGGGAAAUGUAGGAAGCCAUUAAUUCAUGCAGACGUAAGCAAAGAAACUUGAGGGCUACGCCCAGAAAGACGAGCUGCGUAUCUCUAACACAAUUUAACAUCUGUUACUUCUGGAUUUGUCUUUGCUGCUCAUAAAUGAAUAAGGGGAAAUUACCUGGGCAGAGGUCAUGAACUUAAGUUGAUCUCGAUGAGCUGUGAGAUUGCCAUCAGCGCUCGCGACCUGCCGGGUUAACUGGAAACGCCAAAACACACUCCCUCUUUGUUGGACUCCUCCUUAUCAAGCUCAUGGCGUUUUUUUUUUGUUUUUUUUCCCCUUUUCUGUGAACCAUGAGUCUUUUCUCUGUCCAGUUUGAAAAAAAAAAACAGGUUUGUCCAUGAAAGAAGGAUUGGUUUAAAAAAUUACCACCCGUACAAUGAACCGAUUCAUCCUCAUAUGAAGAUGGUAACUCAUUGUGGUCUUUCCGUGGAAAUGGUGAACCUGUGGUCUCAGGGACAUCAAGAGUUUGUAUUCCACAUGAGAAACUAUGUGUGUGUUAAAAUACUGUAAACAUUCUCACAAUUUAUGGGCUUUUAGGAACAUGAUGUAUGAGUAUAUCCAUCAGGGAACACUUCAUUUGAGAGCCCAGUCUUCUGACCACAAUUUGGCCCCAUCACCUAAAAAUUUAUAUCCUCAAUAUCUCGUAUGUCCUUGACUGACUCGGAUAUCACAUCCUUCCUUCUUCCCCUUCACUGCAUGAAUGUUUUAUUACACAAUGACGGCCGGUGUUAAAGAGGCUAAUCACUUACUUCUAAAAUAUAAUGUCAUCUUCCCUCUCUUGACCUUGGAAAGGUUGUUUUUUCGCAGCAUUAUUUGCUAUCAGGAUACUUGAAGCAAGUCAUGAAUGAACGCAGUAUAAGUCCUGCAGGUUUUCAUUGUCAGGCUGGUAUUCAAGGAGACAGGUGACCUUCCAAAAAUGGUGAUUCUGCUCUCCCCUUCCCCAUCUCUUCCUCUUUCCUUUCCUGUAGUUGUGCAUAUUUUUUUUCUCACCCUCCCUCACCUUCUUUUUCUCAUCAUCCUGUACCUCUUUAUUUCUGUUAGCCUUCUUCUGUCCUCGAGUCUCAAUCAUCCUGCUUCCCUCGUCUGCAGUAAUUCUGUUUUGUGGUAUGAAAAAAGGACAGGGCCUCGCAGCGAAACCAGACUUGGCCAUUAUUGGAAAUAGUGUGGCGGAUGAGUCAAGGGGUGCGUAUUUAAUGAAGUGCAGGAGGUAAUAACUCUUUCAUCACUCUCAUUGUUUCAUUUUUGUUCCACAGCAAGCAUGGCCCGCUUGCCCGUCCAUCUUGCCACAGUGCUUGUGUUAUAUCUACACCCCCACGGUGGUGAAGUAAUCAUACUGGACAUCAAUCUGAAGCAUGGGGGUUGGUGUGAUGCGACACAGAAAAAUACUCGCAGUCUCUGAUCUCGAGACACACAUCAGAACGUGUCUCUCCAGCCUAGUAAAUGGUACAAGCCCCGACAUCUUCUAUUUGUUAUAGUGAUAUACUGUAUGGGAAACUGUGGUGGCGGUGAAUGCAAAAUGGUCUCAAAUAGGAACGGAUGCACUGAAUUAUUGAACACAAUGCAGGGACCUGAGCUGAGGCGUGCUCUCCCUGUAACUAUUGUUACCCUGAUCGUCCGUCUUCGUUGACACGAAGCAGGAAUCACAAGGGCGGGCAAACGAAUGAAUGAGUGUUUUAUUCAGUGAGGUUGUCCUGUCGCGAGGCUGCAGUCCUCAUCCCACUUCAUGUUGAGAAGGACCGGAGGGAAAGGAGCUGGAAGGGAGUGCAACUGCAUGCAAAGUCAGUGUGAGAAAGCGACGUUUCACGCGUCAGGUUUCGGGUUUCAAGGCUGUAAAAAAAAGAAAGAAAAGGCCCAACUUGACUCAUGGUGGUAAUGUACAGAUGUGCUACUCAAGUUUAAAAUAAGCCACUGAGGACUCCUGAGGGGCCCAAUUAUUAUUUAGCUGCAGGGGGAAAUGUCUGUUGGGAGCUUUGGACCAAAUGAAAUAGCAUUUUUGUUGCUGGGAUUGACAGCAAUGUUAAAAAAAGAAAGAAGUUCACUUGCAGGGAUGCAGCCACGUGAGCUUUUCGACCAGUCCUACAGCUCCAGCAAAUUAUUAAUUUUGGCCUCUUUAACGUCAUUUUUUUUUUUUUAAUACAUCAAAUCUAUUGUUUGCCUUUUACAGCAGCAGUAGCAGCCGGCAGCCGCUGUAUCAGACACGCUCUGAUGGACCUGGUGAACACUACCUGCCCAGCACCAGAUGGCAGACUGAUAUAUCUAGCAGGAUGCAAUAAUAGCGGAACAUGUAGCAACUACAGAGACAGAUAAUACAGGAACACUGUAAGGUGACAAGAGACUGUGUGUCGGCGGCUCGUUUCGAGUUGUUCUGCCCGCGGUGGACAGAAAAACUCAAAACCUUUAUUUCGUUUUUUUAUGCUUGAGCAGUUUUGUGAAGCACCAGAACGAAUGCGUGACGGGACAUUCUCCUGCUCUCUCCAUCUAUAGCUCUCCAGCGGUGUUUGCUGGGGGAAGGAAGCGCGCUACUGUUCAACUUCCACCACCUCGGUUUUUCCAGCCGGUCCAAGGAUUUGAACUGGCAGCCCUCCAGUCACAACCUCUUAUACUCUAGUCUAUGCAAUGCAAUCAUUUAAUACAUUUAUCACAUUGCACUUCUUCACCCCACAGUGCUGCAGUGUUCUGUACCGUGAGGCACAAAACAUGUACUUAAAGCUCACCCUGUAUCAGUGCGCUUUCUAAGUGGAGGAGACGGAGCACGUGCAGGAGUGCGGGCUGAGCGGACGACUCGUCUCCGUCGCUGGCCAGAGCCAACCCAAACAAACCACAGUCCACUGGCAUGGAGAGCGAGGGAGGGAGUGUGUGUGUUUGUGUUUAACAGUGUGUGUGUGUGUGUGUGUGUGCGCCUUCAGCUCCCAUCCGUUUUGUCCCGCCUUCUCCAGAAAUAACCCCCCGCUAAGAAUAUUUAAUCCCCAGGUUACCGCGCUCUCCUCUCUCUAUGUCUCGCUCUUUAUCUCAUUCUCACACAUUUAAUGUUCAUACUGUACACUCACACACACACACUCACACACACACACACACACAC